rnacentral:rRNA from 1 species
CCUACGGGAGGCAGCAGUGAGGAAUAUUGGUCAAUGGGCGGAAGCCUGAACCAGCCAAGUAGCGUGAAGGAUGACUGCUCUCCGAGUUGUAAACUUCUUUUAUAAAGGAGUAAAGUGAGGCACGAGUGACUUUUUGAGUGUACUUUAAGAAUAAGGAUCGGCUAACUCCGUGCCAGCAGCCGCGGUAAUACGGAGGAUCUGAGCGUUAUCCGGAUUUAUUGGGUGUAAAGGGAGCGUAGAGGGGUUGUUAAGUCAGUGGUGAAAUGUUGCGGCUCAACAGUAGAACUGCAGUGUAUACUGGCUGUCUUGAGUACAGUUGAGGUAGGUGGAAUUCGUGGUGUAGCGGUGAAAUGCUUAGAUAUCACGAAGAACUCCGAUUGCGAAGGCAGCUUACUAAACUGUAACUGACGUUGAUGCUCGAAAGUGUGGGUAGCAAACAGGAUUAGAUACCCGUGUAGUC